rnacentral:rRNA from 1 species
AACCUCCGCAAUGUGAGAAAUCGCGACGGGGGGAUCCCAAGUGCCAUUCUUAACGGGAUGGCUUUUCAUUAGUGUAAAGAGCUUUUGGAAUAAGGGCUGGGCAAGACCGGUGCCAGCCGCCGCGGUAACACCGGCAGCUCUAGUGGUAGCAGUUUUUAUUGGGCCUAAAGCGUCCGUAGCCGGUUUAAUAAGUCUCUGGUGAAAUCCUGUAGCUUAACUGUGGGAAUUGCUGGAGAUACUAUUAGACUUGAGACCGGGAGAGGUUAGAGGUACUCCCAGGGUAGAGGUGAAAUUCUGUAAUCCUGGGAGGACCGCCUGUUGCGAAGGCGUCUAACUGGAACGGUUCUGACGGUGAGGGACGAAAGUUAGGGGCGCGAACCGGAUUAGAUACCCGGGUAGUCCUAACUGUAAACGAUGCGGACUUGGUGUUGGGGUGGCUUUGAGCUGCUCCAGUGCCGAAGGGAAGCUGUUAAGUCCGCCGCCUGGGAAGUCGGUCGCAAGACUGAAACUUAAAGGAAUU